UUUUUUUUCGAUUGCUAAACGACACUGGUCACAACUGAAGCCACAUGUGCAAAACUCUACAGUCGGCAUUACCAACAGUCACAUGAACUAAACAGUUCACAUCACCUGCAAAACUCAUUCCUAACAACACAACUCUUAACCCACGUCUUACUACAGGCUCAGUGGAGCCAAA